GUUCACAAGGGAAGCUCGGGUGGAGGCCUACAGUAGAAAUCCGACGCGGACUGCUCGCAGUAGAAAUUUGAAGUAGACCGCUUGUAGUAGUAGCUCAGAGUAGAUCGCUUGUAGCAGAAGCUCAGUGUAGAUCGCUUGUGGUGGGGGCUCAGAGUCCAGCCCUUGUAAGAAUUCGGAUGAGGUCUACCUGCAAUGGGAGCUCAGGGCUGAAGUCCGACUCCCGUAGGAGCUCGGACGAAGUCUACCUGCUGUGGGAGCUCAGGACUGAAGUCUGACUCCCGUAGGAGCUCGGACGAAGUCUACCUGCAGUGGAGUUCGGGGAAGAAGUCCGGUCACGUAGGAGCCCGGACGAAGUCUACCUGCAGUAGAAGUUUGGGGAAGAAGUCCGGCUCCCGUAGGAGCCCGGAUGAAAUCCAAAAGGUGGUCGACCGCCAUAGAAACUUGGAUGGAGCCUGUCCGUCGUGGAGAUCUACUAUUCGGAAAGUUCGGCCACUGACGAACUGACAUAGUUCUGGAAGAAAUUUGGAUUGGAGUCGUUCGAAUCCUGUCGGAAAAGAUCCAGAAGGGGUCCAGAGAACGGUUGACCCUUGUAGGAGAUCGGCUGAUGGUAGAAUCCAGAGAGUACUUGGAGCAGUCUGAUGGACAAUCGAAGAAGCUUAUCGCUGAAGAAGCCCGGGAGAUGCGGCAGGAGUUCGUCCGUCGGCAGAACUUGGGAAUAUUGCGGAAGCUCGACUGUCGGAGAGUUUCGGAAAGAUGUCGCCCA
rnacentral:lncRNA from 1 species